rnacentral:tRNA from 1 species
CACCAUCCUAACAUUAAGAAGCUAUGAAACAGCACUAGCCUUUUAAGCUAGAGAAAGAGGGCUUCACCCCCUCCUUAAUGG